AGAUUCAUGGAUUAUCCGGAAUAGUAUGCCUACCAAUUGGGGUUUACAGGGUCACAUGUUGAUAAAAAAAGGAAGAUGUGCAGUGGGCUCGCAGCUUUUUGAAUUACUGGGCAUCAUUCAUGGUAGUUCGACUAAGA